rnacentral:rRNA from 1 species
CAGUCGCCGCGGGAACACGGAGGGGGCUAGCGUUGUUCGGAAUUACUGGGCGUAAAGCGCACGUAGGCGGCUUGGUAAGUUAGAGGUGAAAGCCUGGAGCUCAACUCCAGAAUUGCCUUUAAGACUGCCGAGCUAGCAGGUGAGAGAGGUAAGUGGAAUUCCGAGUGUAGAGGUGAAAUUCGUAGAUAUUCGGAAGAACACCAGUGGCGAAGGCGGCUUACUGGCUCAUACUGGACGCUGAGGUGCGAAAGCGUGGGGAGCAAACAGGAUUAGAUACCCGAGUAGUCCCUGUCUCUUAUAA